rnacentral:rRNA from 2 species
CUUGCUCCCUGAAGUCAGCGGCGGACGGGUGAGUAACACGUGGGCAACCUGCCUGUAAGACUGGGAUAACUCCGGGAAACCGGGGCUAAUACCGGAUAAUUCUUUCCCUCACAUGAGGGAAAGCUGAAAGAUGGUUUCGGCUAUCACUUACAGAUGGGCCCGCGGCGCAUUAGCUAGUUGGUGAGGUAACGGCUCACCAAGGCAACGAUGCGUAGCCGACCUGAGAGGGUGAUCGGCCACACUGGGACUGAGACACGGCCCAGACUCCUACGGGAGGCAGCAGUAGGGAAUCUUCCGCAAUGGACGAAAGUCUGACGGAGCAACGCCGCGUGAGUGAUGAAGGUUUUCGGAUCGUAAAACUCUGUUGUUAGGGAAGAACAAGUACCGGAGUAACUGCCGGUACCUUGACGGUACCUAACCAGAAAGCCACGGCUAACUACGUGCCAGCAGCCGCGGUAAUACGUAGGUGGCAAGCGUUGUCCGGAAUUAUUGGGCGUAAAGCGCGCGCAGGCGGUUCCUUAAGUCUGAUGUGAAAGCCCCCGGCUCAACCGGGGAGGGUCAUUGGAAACUGGGGAACUUGAGUGCAGAAGAGAAGAGUGGAAUUCCACGUGUAGCGGUGAAAUGCGUAGAGAUGUGGAGGAACACCAGUGGCGAAGGCGACUCUUUGGUCUGUAACUGACGCUGAGGCGCGAAAGCGUGGGGAGCAAACAGGAUUAGAUACCCUGGUAGUCCACGCCGUAAACGAUGAGUGCUAAGUGUUAGAGGGUUUCCGCCCUUUAGUGCUGCAGCAAACGCAUUAAGCACUCCGCCUGGGGAGUACGGCCGCAAGGCUGAAACUCAAAGGAAUUGACGGGGGCCCGCACAAGCGGUGGAGCAUGUGGUUUAAUUCGAAGCAACGCGAAGAACCUUACCAGGUCUUGACAUCUCCUGACAACCCUAGAGAUAGGGCGUUCCCCUUCGGGGGACAGGAUGACAGGUGGUGCAUGGUUGUCGUCAGCUCGUGUCGUGAGAUGUUGGGUUAAGUCCCGCAACGAGCGCAACCCUUGAUCUUAGUUGCCAGCAUUCAGUUGGGCACUCUAAGGUGACUGCCGGUGACAAACCGGAAGGAAGGUGGGGGAUGACGGUCAAAUCAUCAUGGCCCCUUAAGGACCUGGGGCUAACCACGUGCUACAAUGGGAUGGGAACAAAGGGGUUCGCAAACCCCCCAAGGUUAACCAAACCCCCUAAACCCAUUUUUCUAUUCGAGAUUUGUAAGGUUGGA